rnacentral:tRNA from 1 species
GGGGGUGUAGCUCAGUUGGCUAGAGCGCCUGCCUUGCAAGCAGGAGGUCAAGGGUUCGACUCCCUUCAUCUCCACCA